UACAGAGGAGCCAAGCGUUGUCCGGAUUGACUGGGCGUAAAGCGCACGCAGGCGGACGCGCGCGUGGGGUGUGAAAUCUGGCCGCUUAACGGCCAGGCGCCAUCCCAUACGGCGGGUCUGGAGCCGUGCAGAGGUCGGUGGAAUUGCCGGUGUAGUGGUGAAAUUCGUAGAUAUUAGGAAGAACACCAGUGGCGAAGGCGGCUCACUGGCCCGGUACUGACGCUGAGGCGCGAAAGCGUGGGGAGCAAACAGG
rnacentral:rRNA from 1 species